CUUCCACAGAAUUCUAUAGGGAUCUAUGAGAUCGAGUAUGGAAUUCUGUUUACUCACUUUAAAUUGAGUAUCCGUUUCCCUCCUUUUCCCGCUAGGAUCGGAAAUCCUGAAUUUUCCAUAUCCAUAUGAUCGAGUCCUUAG
rnacentral:rRNA from 1 species